CCGCGUCUGAUUAGCUAGUUGGUAAGUAACGGCUUACCAAGGCAACGAUCAGUAGCCGACCUGAGAGGGUGACCGGCCACAUUGGGACUGAGACACGGCCCAAACUCCUACGGGAGGCAGCAGUGGGGAAUAUUGCACAAUGGGGGAAACCCUGAUGCAGCGACGCCGCGUGAGCGAAGAAGUAUUUCGGUAUGUAAAGCUCUAUCAGCAGGGAAGAAGAAAGUGACGGUACCUGACUAAGAAGCUCCGGCUAAAUAC
rnacentral:rRNA from 1 species